AUUGAACGCUGGCGGCAGGCUUAACACAUGCAAGUCGAGCGGGUGGUGGUGGUUUGCUUGUGGGUCCAGUGGCGGACGGGUGAGAACUGCCCCGGAAUAUGCCUGGAACUGCGGGAUACCGUUCCGAAACGGGCGUUAAUACAGCAUCAGAACUGAGGAUCCACGCGGGGGGUGUCUGGCCUCUACGCUAUCAGUUGAGCCUAGGUCGGCUUAGCUAGUUGGUGGGGUGAAGGCGUACCAAGGCGACGAUCCGCAACUUGUCUGAGAGGAUGAUCAGUCACACUGGAACUGAGACACGGUCCAGACUCCUACGGGAGGCAGCAGUGGGGAAUAUUGGACAAUGGGCGAAAGCCUGAUCCAGCCAUGCCGCGUGUGUGAAGAAGGUCUUCGGAUUGUAAAGCACUUUAAGUUGGGAGGAAGGGCAGUAAGUUAAUACCUUGCUGUUUUGACGUUACCAACAGAAUAAGCACCGGCUAACUUCGUG
rnacentral:rRNA from 1 species